rnacentral:rRNA from 1 species
AAAGCUUGCUUUGAUGGAUGGCGACCGGCGCACGGGUGAGUAACACGUAUCCUCGUUUACGACAACACUGGGAUAGCCUUUCGAAAGAAAGAUUCCUUCCGGAUGGCAUAAUUAUUCCGCAUGGGAUGAUUAUUAAAGAAUUUCGGUUGUCGAUGGGGAUGCGUUCCAUUAGGCAGUUGGCGGGGUAACGGCCCACCAAACCAACGAUGGAUAGGGGUUCUGAGAGGAAGGUCCCCCACAUUGGAACUGAGACACGGUCCAAACUCCUACGGGAGGCAGCAGUGAGGAAUAUUGGUCAAUGGACGAGAGUCUGAACCAGCCAAGUAGCGUGAAGGAUGACUGCCCUAUGGGUUGUAAACUUCUUUUAUACGGGAAUAAAGUUAGCCACGUGUGGUUUUUCGUAUGUACCGUAUGAAUAAGGAUCGGCUAACUCCGUGCCAGCAGCCGCGGUAAUACGGAGGAUCCGAGCGUUAUCCGGAUUUAUUGGGUUUAAAGGGAGCGUAGGCGGGUUGUUAAGUCAGUUGUGAAAGUUUGCGGCUCAACCGUAAAAUUGCAGUUGAUACUGGCGACCUUGAGUGCAACAGAGGUAGGCGGAAUUCGUGGUGUAGCGGUGAAAUGCUUAGAUAUCACGAAGAACUCCGAUUG